rnacentral:rRNA from 1 species
GAUGAACGCUGGCGGUAUGCUUAACACAUGCCAGUCGAACGGACUCUUCGGAGUUAGUGGCGGACGGGUGAGUAACGCGUGAGAAUCUGGCUUUGGGUUCGGGACAACCACUGGAAACGGUGGCUAAUACCGGAUGUGCCGAGAGGUAAAAGAGAAGUUGCCUGAAGAUGAGCUCGCGUCUGAUUAGCUAGUUGGUGAGGUAAAGGCUCACCAAGGCAGCGAUCAGUAGCUGGUCUGAGAGGAUGACCAGCCACACUGGGACUGAGACACGGCCCAGACUCCUACGGGAGGCAGCAGUGGGGAAUUUUCCGCAAUGGGCGAAAGCCUGACGGAGCAGUACCGCGUGAGGGAAGAAGGCUCUUGGGUUGUAAACCUCUUUUCUUAGGGAAGAACAAAAUGACGGUACCUAAGGAAUCAGCAUCGGCUAACUCCGUG